CCCAGUUUUGGCCGUGCAGGCGUGGAGUGUUACUGUCAGCAUGAGAGCGGCGCGGCGGUGAUUCAGCUGCAGUUCCUGAUCAACGAGGGGGCGCUGGUGAGUGCGUUGGCUGACGACAGCAUCCACCUCUGGAACCUGAGGCAGAAGAUCCCUGCUGUGCUGCACUCACUCAAAUUCAGCAGGGAGAGAAUCACUUACUGCCACCUGCCCUUCCAGAGCAA